rnacentral:rRNA from 1 species
GAUGAACGCUGGCGGCGUGCCUAAUACAUGCAAGUCGAGCGAACAGAUGAGGAGCUUGCUCCUCUGACGUUAGCGGCGGACGGGUGAGUAACACGUGGAUAACCUACCUAUAAGACUGGGAUAACUUCGGGAAACCGGAGCUAAUACCGGAUAAUAUAUUGAACCGCAUGGUUCAAUAGUGAAAGACGGUUUUGCUGUCACUUAUAGAUGGAUCCGCGCCGCAUUAGCUAGUUGGUAAGGUAACGGCUUACCAAGGCAACGAUGCGUAGCCGACCUGAGAGGGUGAUCGGCCACACUGGAACUGAGACACGGUCCAGACUCCUACGGGAGGCAGCAGUAGGGAAUCUUCCAAUGGGCGAAAGCCUGACGGAGCAACGCCGCGUGAGUGAUGAAGGUCUUCGGAUCGUAAAACUCUGUUAUUAGGGAAGAACAAAUGUGUAAGUAACUAUGCACGUCUUGACGGUACCUAAUCAGAAAGCCACGGCUAACUACGUG